GUGCAUACUUCAGCAGCACAUAUACUAAAAUUGGAACAAUACAAAGAAAAUUAGCAUGGCCCCUGUGCAAAAAUGGCAUGCAAAAUUCGCGAAGCAUUCCAUAUUAAA